GAGGGUUCUCAUACUGAGCCUGAGAUGUGACAGGAAAUCAAAUCAGUGGGCAACAAUCAUCUCCAUGAUUUUAUGACAUCACAAAGUGGAACUUCCUGUUAUGUGAAAGCUGGAAAACUGGGCUUGUAACUGGGGAGUUGCUGGUUCAAAUCCUGGGACAGGUCAAAGGCUGGUGUGCCCUUGAGCAGGGCUGAACGAGUCUGUGGAGAGCUGAGGUCACUGCUCAUGAGCGCCGUGACUCACCGUUGUCUGGCUACUGUGGACAAGUCACACACUGCUGAGAGGAGUGAGUGAGUCUCAGAAGCGCUCGCAGUUUACUCAGCGAGCGUUAACUCCUGACAUCCUCGUCUCCGGUGUGGCACAGUGAGACGCCGCCUUCCCUCUGUCCACUGACAGCGUGAGGUCUGCGAAGGUGUCAGGUGGACGAAGACAAACACAGCUGGAAACUGUUUUUCCAAGACGGACAAAUCAGAGAUUCAUGAAGGGAGAGGUAAUGAAGGCGAGACGGAGGAGGUGAACAUCGGAAUCAUCUGCUCUGACUUACAGGCCUCGUUUAAUCAAGUGAGAGGAGCAAGAAAAUAUUCUUACAUAAAGAAGAGUGGAGUGAGGGAGUAGCUGCAGACACACACACACACACAUGAAAGAAACAUCAAGAAGCGACACACAUGCUCCUGACUGGUUUGUCCAUUCAGGACAAGACGGAUGAAGUGCCUUUUC